GAGAGCUGAGAGCUCGAGGUGAGCUGGGCUCGCGGUCGCCCCUCUCGCUCGCCCUCUUUGAGAACCACGGCUUCCGACCUCCCUGGAAAUGGGGGGAACAUGGCCGAGGCGCGUGGGAGGCCGCCUCGUGGAGGCCCCGGAGCGGCAUCCUCAGCGCCCCAGCGAUCCGGUGCCCAUUAGAUUUCUUUAGUACAGAACCUGCUAAGGCCAUCAAACCUAUUGAUCGGAAGUCAGUCCAUCAGAUUUGCUCUGGGCCGGUGGUACUGAGUCUAAGCACUGCGGUGAAGAAGAUAGUAGGAAACAGUCUGGAUGCUGGUGCCACUAAUAUUGAUCUAAAGCUUAAGGACUAUGGAAUGGAUCUCAUUGAAGUUUCAGGCAAUGGAUGUGGGGUAGAAGAAGAAAACUUCGAAGGCUUAAUCUCUUUCAGCUCUGAAACAUCACACAUCUAAGAUUCAAGAGUUUGCCGACCUAACUCGGGUUGAAACUUUUGGCUUUCGGGGGAAAGCUCUGAGCUCACUUUGUGCACUGAGUGAUGUCACCAUUUCUACCUGCCACGUAUCGGCGAAGGUUGGGACUCGACUGGUGUUUGAUCACGAUGGGAAAAUCAUCCAGAAAACCCCCUACCCCCACCCCAGAGGGACCACAGUCAGCGUGAAGCAGUUAUUUUCUACGCUACCUGUGCGCCAUAAGGAAUUUCAAAGGAAUAUUAAGAAGAAACGUGCCUGCUUCCCCUUCGCCUUCUGCCGUGAUUGUCAGUUUCU
rnacentral:lncRNA from 1 species